CAGCCGCCGCGGUAAUACGUAGGGUGCAAGCGUUAAUCGGAAUUACUGGGCGUAAAGCGUGCGCAGGCGGCUUCUUAAGUCGGAUGUGAAAUCCCUGAGCUUAACUUAGGAAUUGCAUUCGAUACUGGGAAGCUAGAGUAUGGGAGAGGAUGGUAGAAUUCCAGGUGUAGCGGUGAAAUGCGUAGAGAUCUGGAGGAAUACCGAUGGCGAAGGCAGCCAUCUGGCCUAAUACUGACGCUGAGGUACGAAAGCAUGGGGAGCAAACAGGAUUAGAGACCCGCGUAGUCCCUGUCUCUUAUAC
rnacentral:rRNA from 1 species